CCCAGAACAGCACUGGCAUCCGGGAACUGAGAACGAUGCUGUGAUCCAGAAGUCACGUCAGAUGGGAACGGUGGCCAGUUUUGGACAAGAUAGAGCCCCCUGUCUUCCAGGGACACCAGACAAGAGGCCAAGACUGUGCCUUUGUCCAGAAGCCAAAAGCAAACCAAGAAGGCAUGACCGGGUUCCAGAAGUACACGCCAUAGGACAGCCCUCCAAGACUUCUAGAGAGGACCUGAAGCUGAGGAAAGCCCUCCACUGAAGGGCUCAACCCACUUCUUCCUCCUCCUGGCAGACGGCCUGAAAGAGGGCACAGCUCUCUAACAUAUGAGUGUGCAAAGGACCUCUCCUUCUCCAGCCCUGGGUGUGAAGAGGUCUACCCCAGGCAAGUUCCUCUUUCAACCAACUCCCAGACCCCAUACAAAGAAGGGGAUUCUGAGAUAUGUAACUCCCAGAUUAACCAAACUGCUGUGACACAAAUCAGGUGAGCUCCUGCCCCACGCAUCCCUGCAGCCUGCUCUCCUCCACCCCAAACCCAUGCCCUGGUCCCAGACUAUUCGUGCCCCCGCUAUGCUGUGCCUUCGAUUUGGACACCCUGCCUCCCUGCUUUAGCUGAUCAACGCUACUUCAACCUCAGGAUCUGGCCCCAGAGACCCAUUCCCUGGGAAGUCUUUCCUCUCUGAGACACCCGCUCUCCCAUGUGCUCCCCGAGAACUUGGUACAAACUCAUAAUGUACCUCCAGUGGCCUGCUGUGUCUUCCUGGUCCCCCGGGUCAUGGAGUAUCUUAGGAACAAGCAGCGUGCCGGCGCCCAAGGAGCUAGUGCUGGGGGUGUGGGGUUCCCUGGGAGGGAGCCAGGCUCCCCUGGCAUGGAAGCCACUUAAUCACUGGUGUGCUGUGCUUCAGAAUGCCCUGGGGAGCUUGCUAAAAAUUCAGGCUCCCAGUCCUCCCCUCCCUAAGAUUCUGAUUCAGUGUCUCUGGAGCUGGGCCCAGGAAUCUGCAUUUUAAAGCAAAUGUCACAAAUGAUUCUUCAUCACACCAGGUUGACUCUGACCGGCCUGAAUCUUUUCUUUUUACAGUUUAAGUCUGAUUCUUUCAUCAGAGAAAGUUCUGCCUUUUCUAACAACAAAAUAAAUGACUUUUACAAAGUUUAUUAA